GACGAACGCUGGCGGCGUGCCUAAUACAUGCAAGUCGAGCGGACAGACGGGAGCUUGCUCCCUGAUGUUAGCGGCGGACGGGUGAGUAACACGUGGGUAACCUGCCUGUAAGACUGGGAUAACUCCGGGAAACCGGGGCUAAUACCGGAUGGUUGUCUGAACCGCAUGGUUCAGACAUAAAAGGUGGCUUCGGCUACCACUUACAGAUGGACCCGCGGCGCAUUAGCUAGUUGGUGAGGUAACGGCUCACCAAGGCAACGAUGCGUAGCCGACCUGAGAGGGUGAUCGGCCACACUGGGACUGAGACACGGCCCAGACUCCUACGGGAGGCAGCAGUAGGGAAUCUUCCGCAAUGGACGAAAGUCUGACGGAGAAACGCCGCGUGAGUGAUGAAGGUUUUCGGAUCGUAAAGCUCUGUUGUUAGGGAAGAACAAGUGCCGUUCAAAUAGGGCGGCACCUUGACGGUACCUAACCAGAAAGCCACGGCUAACUACGUG
rnacentral:rRNA from 1 species